GAGGUAAGAUAGAUGGUCGCCCUGUUCUUUUUAAGAACCGGGAGGAAAGUCCGAACUCCGGAGGGCAUGGUGCUGGGUAACGCCCAGUGGGGGUAACCCUAAGGAAAGUGCCACAGAGAACAGACCGCCGAAGAAGUUCCGGUAGAAGUUCCGGGGACACCAUACUCAAUUCAAAACAGAAUUGAGUAUGGUGUCCCCGGAACUCCGGAACUUCUGGUAAGGGUGAAACGGUGAGGUAAGAGCUCACCGCUCCAUUGGUGACAAUGGAGGCACGGUAAACCCCACCAGGAGCAAGACCAAAUAGGGGAACAUUCAGUGCAGAAAUGUACUGAUGAAGUUGGCCCGACCGGGUUCCCGGGUUAGGUCGCUUAAGGUCUCAAGAGAUUGGGAUCUCAGAGGAAUGAUCAUCACCCCUCAAAGGGUAACCUUAGAGGGGGACAGAAUUCGGCUUAUUUCUUACCUCGUCC
rnacentral:RNase_P_RNA from 2 species